rnacentral:rRNA from 1 species
CUGCUCAAUGGAAUUCCUGGGAAACCUUUUAGACACAGGCGUGGGCUGCGGCAGGGCGACCCGUUGUCACCAAUGUUGUUCAUUCUGGCUCUUGACCCACUCCAAAAGCUCCUUUCCAAAGCC